rnacentral:rRNA from 1 species
CAAGGAAUUUUCCCCAAUGGGCGCAAGCCUGAGGGAGCAACGCCGCGUGGAGGAUGACGGCCUUCGGGUUGUAAACUCCUUUUGGGGGGGAAGAUGAUGACGGUACCCCCCGAAUAAGCCCCGGCUAACUCCGUGCCAGCAGCCGCGGUAAGACGGAGGGGGCAAGCGUUGUCCGGACUCACUGGGCGUAAAGGGUCCGUAGGCGGUUCUGUGCGUCGGUGCUGAAAGCGCCCGGCUUAACCGGGCGAGGCGUGCCGAUACGACGGAACUCGAGGCAGGCAGAGGAUGGCGGAAUUCCGGGUGUAGUGGUGAAAUGCGUAGAGAUCCGGAGGAACGCCUGUGGCGCAAGCGGCCAUCUGGGCCUGACCUGACGCUGGGGGACGAAAGCGUGGGGAGCGAACCGG